rnacentral:rRNA from 1 species
GUGCCAGCAGCCGCGGUAAUACGGAGGGUGCAAGCGUUGUUCGGAAUCACUGGGCGUAAAGGGCGCGUAGGCGGCCGGUCGGGUCUGAUGUGAAAGCCCGGGGCUCAACCCCGGAAGUGCAUUGGAAACUGACUGGCUUGAGUCCGGAAGAGGAGGGCAGAAUUCCCGGUGUAGGGGUGAAAUCCGUAGAAAUCGGGAGGAAAACCAGUGGCGAAGGCGGCCCUCUGGUACGUGACUGACGCUGAGGCGCGAAAGCGUGGGGAGCAAACAGGAUUAGAAACCCGAGUAGUCC